GACGAACGCUGGCGGCGUGCCUAACACAUGCAAGUCGAACGAGGUCCAAGGGAGCUUGCUCCCUGAAGACCUAGUGGCGAACGGGUGAGUAACACGUGAGAAACCUGCCCUCGAGUGGGGAAUAACCCGGGGAAACCCGGGCUAAUACCGCAUACGCUCCUCUGGUCGCAUGGCCGGAGGAGGAAAGUUUUUCGCUCAAGGAGGGUCUCGCGGCCUAUCAGCUUGUUGGCGGGGUAACGGCCCACCAAGGCUACGACGGGUAGCUGGUUUGAGAGAACGAUCAGCCACACUGGGACUGCGACCCGGCCCAGACUCCUACGGGAGGCAGCAGUGGGGAAUCUUGCGCAAUGGGCGAAAGCCUGACGCAGCAACGCCGCGUGCGGGAUGACGGCCUUCGUGGUUGUAAACCGCUUUCAGCAGGGACGAAAAUGACGGUACCUGCAGAAGAAGCUCCGGCUAACUACGUGCCAGCCGCCGCGGUAA
rnacentral:rRNA from 1 species